rnacentral:sRNA from 1 species
UCGAAGCCUUGAAUUUUCCGCCAUCAGC